UACGAAGGGGGCUAGCGUUGCUCGGAAUCACUGGGCGUAAAGCGCACGUAGGCGGCCUCGCAAGUCUGAUGUGAAAUCCCUCGGCUCAACCGAGGACGUGCAUCGGAAACUGCGGGGCUUGAGUACUGAAGAGGAUCGCGGAAUUCCCGGUGUAGAGGUGAAAUUCGUAGAUAUCGGGAGGAACACCAGUGGCGAAGGCGGCGAUCUGGGCAGAUACUGACGCUGAGGUGCGAAAGCGUGGGGAGCAAACAGG
rnacentral:rRNA from 1 species